CCCGAGGACAAAGUUCCCAACAAUAUAAUUAACAUGAUCAUCUGCAUAUAUAUGCAUGCGUACUAAUUAAUUAACCCAAUAAUCAUGCGACUCAUGCGAUGUGGCCGUAGACGCAUAGAUAGAUGUAUCAAAGUGCGUAGGCAUAAGAGACGUCAGGAAUGUCGUGGCCUCAUUUUCUCGUCAACUAGGCACAGAGAUGGCACCUGUGGUGCUCGGGGAGCCCUCUCCAUAUAGUGUUACGGUGUAUCUGCGUCUUUUUUUUCUCUUAUGUCAGUAUCAUUUGUUUUGUUGCACACAUGAACAAUGUUGUCUU
rnacentral:lncRNA from 1 species